GUCGGGGUAGUGACCGGUGAACAUCGUGGGGCGGCUCGGCACACA
rfam:Mycobacterium kansasii strain 1010001458 NODE_26_length_69082_cov_36.7024_ID_2052, whole genome shotgun sequence.